rnacentral:rRNA from 1 species
GCGACCCCAGGUCANGCGGGAUUACCCGCUGANUUUAAGCAUAUC